rnacentral:rRNA from 1 species
GACGAACGCUGGCGGCGUGCCUAAUACAUGCAAGUAGAACGCUGAAGGAGGAGCUUGCUUCUCUGGAUGAGUUGCGAACGGGUGAGUAACGCGUAGGUAACCUGCCUGGUAGCGGGGGAUAACUAUUGGAAACGAUAGCUAAUACCGCAUAAUAGUAGAUGUCGCAUGACAUUUGCUUAAAAGGUGCAAUUGCAUCACUACCAGAUGGACCUGCGUUGUAUUAGCUAGUUGGUGAGGUAACGGCUCACCAAGGCAACGAUACAUAGCCGACCUGAGAGGGUGAUCGGCCACACUGGGACUGAGACAGGGCCCAGACUCCUACGGGAGGCAGCAGUAGGGAAUCUUCGGCAAUGGACGGAAGUCUGACCGAGCAACGCCGCGGGAGUGAAGAAGGUUUUCGGAUCGUAAAGCUCUGUUGUAAGAGAAGAACGAGUGUGAGAGUGGAAAGUUCACACUGUGACGGUAUCUUACCAGAAAGGGACGGCUAACUACGUG